CCCUGGUCCUGCAAAGUAGAAGUGGGCAAGAGGAGGAAGGCUUUGGAGCAACUGCGAGCAACAGGAGUGAAGACUCUGCAAGCUCAUCAGGAGGCCAAAGAUGCAAGUCGCAGAAGAUGGCGGGGAAGGCGAGGGAGCCUGGACACUGGCACUUCUCUGAAGAAGUGGGCAAGAGGAGGAAGGCUUUGGAGAAACUGCAAGCAACAGGAGUGAAGGCUCUGCAAGCUCAUCAGGAGGCCAAAGAUGCAAGUUGCAGAAGAUGGCGGGGAAGGCGAGGGAGCCUGGACACUGGCACUUCUCUGAAGAAGUGGGCAAGAGGAGGAAGGCUUUGGAGCAACUGCAAGCAACAGGAGUGAAGACUCUGCAAGCUCAUCAGGAGGCCAAAGAUGCAAGUCGCAGAAGAUGGCGGGGAAGGCGAGGGAGCCUGGACACUGGCACUUCUCUGAAGAAGUGGGCAAGAGGAGGAAGGCUUUGGAGCAACUGCAAGCAACAGGAGUGAAGACUCUGCAAGCUCAUCAGGAGGCCAAAGAUGCAAGUUGCAGAAGAUGGCGGGGAAGGCGAGGGAGCCUGGACACUGGCACUUCUCUGAAGAAGUGGGCAAGAGGAGGAAGGCUUUGGAGCAACUGCAAGCAACAGGAGUGAAGACUCUGCAAGCUCAUCAGGAGGCCAAAGAUGCAAGUUGCAGAAGAUGGCGGGGAAGGCGAGGGAGCCUGGA